AUGGCGAGGACGACUGGAUUAAGAAAAUGUGGCGGGGUGGGGGGUGGGGAGAGGCGGGGGCGGCCCCCGGGCAGGCAAACGCUUGGGGGGCCGGGUGCAGCCCUGCAGCUCUCGCCAGAGCCCAACCCAGCCGAGGUCCACCACUGCCCCUGCGCCUCUGUGCCUCUGCGCCUCUGCGCCUCCGCACCUCCGCACCGCCUCAACUCCCUGGAGGUGGUGAAACGCAAGAUCCAGGCCCUGCAGCAGCAGGCGGACGAGGCAGAAGACCGCGUGCAGGGCCUGCAGCAGGAGCUGGAUGGCGAGUGCGAGUGGCGCGAGAAAGCUGAAGGUGACGUGGCCGCCCUCAACGGAUGCAUCCAGCUCCUUGAGGAGGAGUUGGGCAGGGCUCAGGAAUGACCAGCCACAGCCCUGCAGAAGCUGGAGGAGGCAGAAAAAGCUGCAGAUGAGAGUGAGGGAGGAAUAAAGGUGAUAGAAAACUGGGCCAUGAAGGAUGAGGAGAAGAUGGAGAUUCAGGAGAUGCAGCUCAAAGAGGCCAAGCACAUUGUGGAAGAGGCUGACUGCAAAUACGAGGAGGUAGCUCGUAAGCUGGUCAUCCUGUAGGGUGAGCUGUAGAGGGCAGAAGAGCGUGCGGAGGUGCGUGCGGAGGUGUCUGAACUAAAAUGUGGUGACGUGGAAGAAGAACUCAAGAAUGUUACUAACAAUCUGAAAUCGCUGGAAGCUGCAUCUGAAAAGUAUUCUGAAAAGGAGGACAAAUAUGAAGAAGAAAUUAAACUUCUGUCUGACAAACUGAAAGAGGUUGAGACCCAUGCUGAAUUUGCAGAGAAAACGGUUGCAAAACUGGAAAAGACAACUGAUGACCUGGAAGAGAAACUUGCCCAGGCCAAAGGAGAACGUGGGCUUACAUCAGACACUGGAUCAGACACUAAACCAACUUAACUGUAUAUAAGCAAAACAGAACAGUCUUGUUCCAACAGAAACUCCAGAGCUCCGUGGGUCUUUCUCGUCUCUUGUAAGAAGUUCCUUUUGUUAUUGCCAUCUUUGCUUUGCUGGAAAUGUCAAGCAAAUUAUGAAUACAUGACCAAAUAUUCUGUAUCGGA